rnacentral:rRNA from 1 species
GACGAACGCUGGCGGCGUGCUUAACACAUGCAAGUCGAACGGUGAUGCUCCAGCUUGCUGGAGUGGAUCAGUGGCGAACGGGUGAGUAACACGUGAGCAACCUGCCCCAGACUCUGGAAUAAGCGCUGGAAACGGCGUCUAAUACUGGAUACGAAACUGGCCCGCAUGGGCAUGGUUUGGAAAGUUUUUCGGUUUGGGAUGGGCUCGCGGCCUAUCAGCUUGUUGGUGAGGUAAUGGCUCACCAAGGCGACGACGGGUAGCCGGCCUGAGAGGGCGACCGGCCACACUGGGACUGAGACACGGCCCAGACUCCUACGGGAGGCAGCAGUGGGGAAUAUUGCACAAUGGGCGAAAGCCUGAUGCAGCGACGCCGCGUGAGGGAUGACGGCCUUCGGGUUGUAAACCUCUUGCAGCAGGGAAGAAGCGAAAGUGACGGUACCUGAAGAAGAAGCACCGGCUAACUACGUG